ensembl:snRNA U6 U6 spliceosomal RNA
UUGUCACUUUGGCAGCACCUAUACCAAACUUGGACUAAUACAGAGAAGCUUAGCAUGGUCCUAUGCAAGGAUGACACACAAAUUCGUGAAGUAUUCCAUGUAUUU